AAUUGCAUGUAAGGGCAGAUGGUGGAUGCCUUGGGAUAUCAAGGCGAUGAAGGACGUUGCGUGACUGCGAUAAGCCUCGGGGAGGUGUCUAGCAACCGUUAAUCCGAGGAUGUCCGAAUAGGGAAACCUAGUCCCGUAAAUCGGGAUUAUCUUGCGCAAGCAAGAAGCGAACCUGGGGAAGUGAAUCAUCUCAGUACCCAGAGGAAAAGAAAUAUAUUCCCCUAGUAGCGGCGAGCGAACAGGGAGGAGUCCAAACCCUAUAUCGAAAGGUGUGGGGGGUUGCAAGGGAAUAGCGUCGGAGCCUCACUCCACAAAACCUAUCAAUCGAUUGGUGGGGUGAUGCCCUGAGGGAGAGACAAGUUAGAGAUUGGUUAGGAGAACGUGUCUGGAAAGACCGGCAAUACAGGGUAAUAGCCCCGUAUCCAAAAACCUCUUUAUGCUCCUUGCUAUUUUACUUAAGUACCUUGGGGAAAGACAGCCCCUUGGGAAACCGGCCGUACUAAAGGCCAAGGCUAAAUACUUGAUAUCACCGAUAGUGAACCAGUACCGUGAGGGAAAGGUGAAAAGCAGGGGGGUGACCCCGGUGAAAUAGAAUCUGAAACCAUUUUGCCCACAAGGAGUCGGAGCCCUUCGAGCGCAAGCUCUCAGGGUGACGGCGUAUUUCUUGCUAAACGAGCCAACGAGUUUAUGUGCAUUGCAGUCUAAGGGCGUUUGACGUCCGUAGGCAAAGGGAAACCGAGUGCUAAUUGCGCGACCAUAAUGCAGUGCGCCUAAGACCCGAAGCCAAGCGAGCUUUCCAUGACCAGGGUGAAGGCGGCCGAAAGGCUGCCGGAAGCCCGAACCCGUAAGUCGUUCAACUCUUUGGGAUGAGUUGUGGAAAGAAGUGAAAAGCUAAUCGAGCUUGGUCAUAGCUGGUUCUCUCCGAAAUAGCUUUAGGGCUAGCGUCCGCUGUGAGUAUUGGCGGUAGAGCACUGAAAAGAACAUUUUGGCGCAAGCCAGAUGUUCUUAUCAAACUUCGAAUGCCAGUAUUUUAAAGGCGGGCAGUCAGAACGUGAGCGCUAAGGUUCACGGAUCCUAAGGGAAACAGCCCAGACCUUCAUCUAAGGUCCCUAAAUCAGGCUAAGUGCAAAUUAAGAGGAAGUGGAAUUCCACAGAUAGCUAGGAGGUUAGCUUAGAAGCAGCUAUCCUUUAAAAAGUGCGUAACAGCUUACUAGCUAAGGAGUUCUGCGCCGAAAAUCUAUAGGGGCUUAAGCCUGAUACCGAAGAUAAGGAUUCUUCCGCAUUCGUGCGGGGGAGUGGUAGGAGAGCGUCCUUAUUGCGUUGAAGCCGGAACGUGAGUGACGGUGGAGCGAUGAGGAGUGAGACUGUUGGCAUGAGUAACCACAAUGCAGAUGAAAUCUCUGCACACCGAAAACCCGAGGUUUCCUUGGCAACGACAAUCGUCCAAGGGUGAGGCGGGCCUUAGGGAGUGCCACAAGGUACUUCUGAUGGACAGCAGGUUAAUAUUCCUGCCCUUCCUUGCAUUCUUUACAGUGACGCAGUUUUGGAGUCUAGGGGGAUUAUUGGAUUUCCUUACCUUGUCGCAAGACAGGGGUCCCGGACAAAAAAGUUGCCCAGAAAAGCUGUGAAGUUAUGUGUAAGGAACCCGUACCGCAAAUCCGACACAGGUGGGUUGGCGCAAGUAUGCUAAGGUGAACGGGUGAAAGCUCCUGAAGGAACUAAGCAAAAGAGCGGUCGUAAGUUCGCGAUAAGAUCUGCCCCUUUCAUAACUGGAAGGGGCCGCAGCGACUGUGUCCCGAGCGACUGUUUACCAAAAACACAGGUCCGUGCUUAACUCGAAAGAGGAUGUAUACGGGCCGACACCUGACCAGUGCUGGAGUGUUAAAGUUGGGGGUUCUUGCCGCAAGGUGAGAGCUCACUGACCUAAGCCCCAGUGAACGUCCGCGGUAACUAUAACCGUGUUAAAGUAGCGUAGCCCCUUGCCAGGUAA
rnacentral:rRNA from 1 species